UCGGGUUGUAAACCUCUUUCGUAGGGAAGAAGCGAAAGUGACGGUACCUGCAGAAGAAGCGCCGGCUAACUACGUGCCAGCAGCCGCGGUAAUACGUAGGGCGCAAGCGUUAUCCGGAAUUAUUGGGCGUAAAGAGCUCGUAGGCGGUUUGUCGCGUCUGCCGUGAAAGUCCGGGGCUCAACUCCGGAUCUGCGGUGGGUACGGGCAGACUAGAGUGAUGUAGGGGAGACUGGAAUUCCUGGUGUAGCGGUGAAAUGCGCAGAUAUCAGGAGGAACACCGAUGGCGAAGGCAGGUCUCUGGGCAUUAACUGACGCUGAGGAGCGAAAGCAUGGGGAGCGAACAGGAUUAGAUACCCUGGUAGUCCAUGCCGUAAACGUUGGGCACUAGGUGUGGGGGACAUUCCACGUUUUCCGCGCCGUAGCUAACGCAUUAAGUGCCCCGCCUGGGGA
rnacentral:rRNA from 1 species